rnacentral:sRNA from 1 species
UUUUUCUCCUUCCUCGCAACCGCGCCAGGGAGCUCGCGGCGCGCGGCCCCUGUCCUUCGGCCCGAGAUGAAUCCUGCGGCAGAAGCCGAGUUCAACAUCCUCCUGGCCACCGACUCCUACAAGGUUACUCACUAUAAACAAUAUCCACCCAACACAAGCAAAGUUUAUUCCUACUUUGAAUGCCGUGAAAAGAAGACAGAAAACUCCAAAUUAAGGAAGGUGAAAUAUGAGGAAACAGUAUUUUAUGGGUUGCAGUACAUUCUUAAUAAGUACUUAAAAGGUAUUACUUUUCCUAGUAUAUUUUAAACACUGCUUAUUACUGUUAACUCCUUUAGGAGUUUAGAAUUUUUAACAAAUCUGUUAAUUUGGAUGCAUUGAAUCAUAUAAUUUGGUGUGUGUUUGAUGUUCUAAGUAUGAGAAAAGUUUUCUGAAAUAAAAGGUUUUUUUAUUUUUUUGGAAACCGAGUUUUGCUCUUGUUGGCCAGGCUGGAGUGCAAUGGCAUGAUCUCAACUCAGCGCAACCUCCGCCUCCUGGUUUCAGGCAAUUCUCCUGCCUCUGCCUCCCGAGUAGAUGGGAUUACAGGCAUGCACCACCACACCCAGCUAAUUUUGUAUUUUUAGUGAAGACGGGGUUUCUCCAUGUUGGUCAGGCUGGUCUUGAACUCUCGACCUCAGGUGAUCCACCUGCCUUGGCCUCCCAAAGUGCUGUGAUUACAGGCGUGAGCCACCACUCCUGGCCGAACUAAAAGUUUUGAAAUAAGUUUAGAAAAGUCAUUAAUUUUUGGAGGCUAAUCUUGUUUGUUAUACUUUAGUCAUUAAUUCAAAGUAAAGGAGUUGUUAAUGAACUGGAAACACCCUUUGAAUUAUGGUAGCAAUCAGAAUAUUUUUAUAUUAGCCAGUUUUACCUUGUAGACCUAUUUUUAAAAACUACCUGUGUCUCUGGACUUAGUUGCAAAUGCAUAUUAAAACAAAAAUCCCCCAAUUUCUGUGCUUUCUUAUUUGAAAGGCCAUUUCUAAUCAAUUUUUGCAAUGGUGUUUCUAGGGGGAAAACAGUUCCCAAACACAUUAUACAUGUUGGAAAAGUUUAUCUCUAACCUUUUGAAUUAAACAAUUUCAGAAUUGAAAACAGUAAGUUGAAUUUUAGGCCAAUAACUCUUUUCUAUAAUCUUGACUCUUUUAAGAUUAGGCAGUUCAGAUAGUCUUAUACUACUGAAAACCCAGCUAGAUAUCAGAAGUAAUUAUUAGUGGCAAGAAUACCAAAGUUUUUUUGUUUUGUUUUGUUUUUAGACAGGAUCUCACUCAGUCACCCAGGCUGGAGUGCAGUGGUGCAAUCUUGGCUUACUGCAACCUCUGCCUCCCAGGCUCCAGCGAUCCUUCCUGCUUAGCCUCUCAAGUAACUGGGACCACAGGCUCGCACCACGAUGCCUGGCUACUUUUUUAUAGUGACAGGGUUUCACCAUGUUGACCAGGCUGGUCUCAAACUUUUGAGCUCUCAAGCGAUCCGCCCGCCUUGACCUCCCAAAAUGCUGGGAUUACAGACAUGAGCCACCACGCCUGGCCCCAAGAUACUUUAAACGAGUUUACUAGUUAUCUUGUAUUAAGUUACCAGCAACUGAUAGCACACUUUAAUUUAGUCAUACAACUUAAGAACUUUGUAAAAUAUUACUCAUUAUUAAUUAUAACUAAAAUGUAUUGAUUACCUAUUCUAGGCCAGCAUUAUUGUAAGUGGUUCAUAUGUCUUAACUCAUUUUGUCCUCACAAACAUCAUAUAAGUGGGUACUCGAUUUUUAUCCUCAUUUACGGAUAAGAAAAGUUAAUUAAAAGUGUGUUGUUUGGGGGGCAGACAUUUAGUAAUUGUGGAAAUUACUGACUUACCAACCCUAAAGAUGCCACAUUCUUUACGAACGAAGUGAGAAGUUUCAUUUGGAUGUAAGAAGCUUUUGAGUCAUCUCAAAGUUGAAAAGUACCAAAAUUAAUCGAGAGAAA